rnacentral:rRNA from 1 species
CUUAACGCGAAGAACCUUACCUACUCUUGACAUCCAGAGAACUUUCCAGAGAUGGAUUGGUGCCUUCGGGAACUCUGAGACAGGUGCUGCAUGGCUGUCGUCAGCUCGUGUUGUGAAAUGUGGGGUUAAGUCCCGCAACGAGCGCAACCCUUAUCCUUUGUUGCCAGCGGUUCGGCCGGGAACUCAAAGGAGACUGCCAGUGAUAAACUGGAGGAAGGUGGGGAUGACGUCAAGUCAUCAUGGCCCUUACGAGUAGGGCUACACACGUGCUACAAUGGUGUAUACAAAGAGAAGCGACCUCGCGAGAGCAAGCGGACCUCAUAAAGUACGUCGUAGUCCGGAUUGGAGUCUGCAACUCGACUCCAUGAAGUCGGAAUCGCUAGUAAUCGUAGAUCAGAAUGCUACGGUGAAUACGUUCCCGGGCCUUGUACACACCGAAG